rnacentral:rRNA from 1 species
UACAGAGGGUGCGAGCGUUAAUCGGAAUUACUGGGCGUAAAGCGUGCGCAGGCGGUGAUGUAAGACAGUUGUGAAAUCCCCGGGCUCAACCUGGGAACUGCAUCUGUGACUGCAUCGCUGGAGUGCGGCAGAGGGGGAUGGAAUUCCGCGUGUAGCAGUGAAAUGCGUAGAUAUGCGGAGGAACACCGAUGGCGAAGGCAGUCCCCUGGGCCUGUACUGACGCUCAUGCACGAAAGCGUGGGGAGCAAACAGG